GGGGUUAUCGUAUAGUGGCUAGUACUACAGGCUCCAGACCUGUAAACCAGGGUUCGAGUCCCUGUAACCCCA
rnacentral:tRNA from 1 species